CGCGUUGAAGAAGGAGAAAGGGUUGGAUAUGAAAAGGGCCCUUCACCGCCCACAUCGAGCCCCCAUGCCUUUCUCUGUCUAUAUAAAUCAAACCUUUCUUUUCUUUCUUCUUCUUCUUCUUCUUCUUCUUCUGUAGAUGGGGAUCGAUAUAAUCAGUGCAAUGUAAAACCUCCACAUCUAUCUAUCUAUCUAUCUUGGGCAUUAGAGGAAAAAGGAACAAACAGGGCAGACAGGAGCAAGCCAGGCAGUACUACUAUGGAAUCUACAACAACAACAAGGGUUCGUGAUUCAAAGUUUCAGGCCAUUCUGGCUGAUGAUCUUGGAAGAAGAAUCUGAUUUUUUUUUUUUUCAUAAUUAAUUUGGUAAUUUCAUGGAAGUUUAUUUAUGGUUGGGUUAUAAAUAUCAUAUAUUCAUGAAAUAUUGUUGCCUUUUAUA